UAAGGAAUAUUGGGCAAUGGAGGCAACUCUGACCCAGCCAUCCCGCGUGAAGGAUUAAGGCCCUGUGGGUUGUAAACUUCUUUUGUUUGGGAAGAAAUCAGGACAUUCAUGUGCCGUUGACGGUACCUUACGAAUAAGCACCGGCUAACUCCGUGCCAGCAGCCGCGGUAAUACGGAGGGUGCAAGCGUUAUCCGGAAUCACUGGGUUUAAAGGGUGCGUAGGCGGUUUGAUAAGUCAGAGGUGAAAGCUAGCAGCUUAACUGUUAAAUUGCCUUUGAUACUGUCAGACUUGAAUCAAGUUGAGGUAGGCGGAAUGUGACAUGUAGCGGUGAAAUGCAUAGAUAUGUCAUAGAACACCAAUUGCGUAGGCAGCUUGCUGGGCUUGAAUUGACGCUGAGGCACGAAAGCGUGGGGAUCAAACAGGAUUAGAUACCCUGGUAGUCCACGCCCUAAACGAUGUUAACUCGAUAUUUAUUCUUCGGAGUGAGUGUCCAAGCGAAAGCGUUAAGUUAACCACCUGGGGAGUACGUUCGCAAGAAUG
rnacentral:rRNA from 1 species